rnacentral:SRP_RNA from 1 species
GUUUGGGUCUUACGCAACAGAUCUUCAUGAACCGUGUCAGGGCAGGAAUGCAGCAGCACUAAGUGAAACCUUCUGUGUGCCGUGAGGGUGCCUGGACCGA